UCUCCCGCAGGUCGCAUCAGGGAGGCCAGACACAACACGGGGCCUGUGGCACCGCCUGGACUACAAAUACCUAAAGCCUCUGCUGACGCAUUACGGCCCCUCUCUGUCCGACUCUCUGCCACAGUGCUGCGGAGUCGGUGCCAGACUCUUCAGGAGCCCGAACAUCCAGGAGGAUGAGGAGCAGCUGUGUGAAACUGAACCAGACGACUGCGUCUGUGAUUUGGAGGAAACAGAGCGCCAGGUCGGGUCCAUAGGUGGCGACAAUUCAUCGGAGCACCAGGAGGACCUGCUGGAGGGAGACCUGGGCCUUGGCACCGCUGCGGCCCCCUCCAGGGAGAGCUGAAGCUCCAGAAGUCACGUCUAACCCCCCCCACCCGGCUUUAUCGGCCCUCUGCCUCAGCCCUGAGGCUACGGCCCCUGCCUCCCCACAGUGAAUAGGGGUCAGUGGUCCGGGGCAUCUGAGAGGAGCCGACCGGGAGUCAGAGUUACAAAAAGCUUCAUGAAAGGUCAUGCAACCCCCCUUCGUGCUGACAUUCAUGCAGAGACGCGCUCGCAGAGGGAGGGGGGAAGUUACAAAAAGCUUUUGCUCUUUCUGUUCCUCUGCUGAUGAAUACUGUUGGCUUGUUCUGCUUAAGUCUCGAGGAAUUUAGUAGCUGAGAAACAAUGAUUUCUAAUGUCUACCAAGAGGAGGCUGGAUCUGACCUCUGAGUGCACUUUUCAAACGGAAAGCAAAACCAAAAUGC